rnacentral:lncRNA from 10 species
CCCCUCGAUGCCAGUCAGCUGGAAGGGAAAAGAGCAUGGAAGAGCACUGGCGGGAAGUUACGGGCCUGGCCUGGAAGUGGAACACAUUAGUUCUCACUUUGCACUGGCUCAGACUUCCUUACUUCAUCACACUAACCACAAGGGAAGCUGGAAAAUAUAGACUGGGAGGAAAGAAAUUUUAGUAAAUAGCUUGCAGUAUCUGCCACAUUGCCUCAAUCA